rnacentral:rRNA from 1 species
GAUGAACGCUGGCGGCGUGCCUAAUACAUGCAAGUAGAACGCUAACGGAGGAGCUUGCUCUUCUGGGUGAGUUGCGGACGGGUGAGUAACGCGUAGGUACCCUGCCUGGUAGCGGGGGGUAACUAUUGGAAACGAUAUCUAAUACCGCAUGACCACAGUUAUUGCAUGAUAACUGUUUAAAUGGGGCAACUGCUCCACUACCAGAUGGACCUGCGUUGGAUUAGCUAGUUGGUGAGGUAACGGCGCACCAAGGCGACGAUACAUAGCCGGCCCGAGAGGGUGAUCGGCCCACCUGGGACCGGAGAACGGCCCACACUCCUACGGGAGGGAGCAGUAGGGGAUUUUUGGCAAAGGACGGAAGUCUGACCGAACGACGGCGGGGGAGUGAAGAAGGGCUUCGGGUCGGAAAGCUGUUUUUGAAGAGAAGGAAGAGUGUUAGUUUGGAAAGGGCACAUUGUGACGGUACCGUAACAGAAAGCGACGGCUAACUACGUG